rnacentral:lncRNA from 1 species
UUUUUUGGUUGUUUUAAAGAGAUUUUAGGUUUUGACCAAAUUAAUUUGAUUUUAACGCAUUUUUAAUUUGAUUUUUAAUUGAUUAAUUAUGUAAAAAUUAUGUUGAGCCAUUUUUAUGGUCUUGUGAUGUUUGACUAUUUGUUUGGGCCUUGGUCAAGGUUGAUUUGACUUUUAUUUGAUUAAAAUCAUUGGAUUUAGGGGAUUGAUGAAAUGUACAUUUCAUCUCCCAAAAUGAAUGAAUGAUUUUAAUUUGGUAAAAUUCCUCCCAUGACCAAUUUGUG